GAUAAAUUAAUAUGACAUUACUAUUGGCUCUAACCUGAUUUCUUGCGUGUCUCCACGACAGUACCAUGACUACGCGGCAAGAACACUCCAGUUCCACCCGACCCGGUUUUCGAACCUGACCCGUCAACGAACACCGCCUUCACGCCCGACCUUGGUCUCUGUUGUUGGUGGUAGCUCCUUGCUUUGUGUCCUAACACGUCAUCUGAAUCAUAACGGGUUGCGUCUCCAUCGCCGUCACCGGAGUUAGCGGUGGCGAUGGUUCUCUGGAAGGACCGAUAGGGCUGCUGUAACCGGAGGCGAAAGGUGACCAAAGAGUAGAUUGCGGCGAGCCAGAGCCACCACCACCACUACAAGACUGAUCAAAAAGUAUAAAAUGAAUUAAAUAAAAAAAAAGAGAGAAAAGAAUCGAAUCUGUUGGGUUUCAAGAAAAAAGUUUUGUACCUUCUGAUGCUUUUCGUCAUCUUGAAGCAUAUAGUUAGCCAUCUGACGAGUCAACUCUUCCACGUACUCGUCUUCUUCUUCGUUCUGUGGCUUUGGUGAAUCCGGGUCUUCGGAUACGGAGUCAGAUCUAAGGGAGCUUGUGGUUGGAGUGAAGAAAGUUGGGCUUGUGUGGUCGGAAAAGGAACUAAAGUAAUCUAUGUCUUGCAGUUCAGUAGAUUCCAUGUUGAUGAAUUUUUGUCUAGAAGAACAGAGAAAAUAUCUUUGGAUUGAUACAGACAGAACAAACGAACUUUAACCAGAGAUAUUUUUUCAAAAAAAAACUUCAACCAGGGAGAGAGAUAGAGAGAGCAAGAGAAACAGAGGAGAGCAAGUAGACAGAAAGAGUUUGAGCUAAGAGAUAUAUAAAGAAGGAAGAAAGAAGGAGACCGUACAGAUGGACAGCUUUAAGCGGAAGGCGCUACGAUCACCUGCCAAUUGUUGCGAGUCACGAGAGAUUAAGGAUUAAGGAAAGCUAAAAAAUAAUACUUACAUAUGUAGUUUUCUCUUUUUCUUUUUUCUUUCGUGAAAUAUGAAUGCAUUUAUUUAUGACGAACUCUUUCUUAGUUUGGGUGAAUGUUUAUUAAAAUUUCGCUUAUAACAUUUUUCUUUCUUUCUCGCU